rnacentral:rRNA from 1 species
UGAACGCUGGCGGGUUGCCUACACAUGCAAGUCGAACGGUAACAGGAAGAAGCUUGCUUCUUUGCUGACGAGUGGCGGACGGGUGAGUAAUGUCUGGGAAACUGCCUGAUGGAGGGGGAUAACUACUGGAAACGGUAGCUAAUACCGCAUAACGUCGCAAGACCAAAGAGGGGGACCUUCGGGCCUCUUGCCAUCGGAUGUGCCCAGAUGGGAUUAGCUAGUAGGUGGGGUAACGGCUCACCUAGGCGACGAUCCCUAGCUGGUCUGAGAGGAUGACCAGCCACACUGGAACUGAGACACGGUCCAGACUCCUACGGGAGGCAGCAGUGGGGAAUAUUGCACAAUGGGCGCAAGCCUGAUGCAGCCAUGCCGCGUGUAUGAAGAAGGCCUUCGGGUUGUAAAGUACUUUCAGCGGGGAGGAAGGGAGUAAAGUUGAUACCUUUGCUCAUUGACGUUACCCGCAGAAGAAGCACCGGCUAACUCCGUGCCAGCAGCCGCGGUAAUACGGAGGGUGCAAGCGUUAAUCGGAAUUACUGGGCGUAAAGCGCACGCAGGCCGGUUUGUUAAGUCAGAUGUGAAAUCCCCGGGCUC